rnacentral:lncRNA from 1 species
GUUGCUCGUAAAACAGGCCGAUCACUUCAUGGAGGAUCUCGGAUAACCUCUAGAAGAAAUCACUUGGUGGGAACACAAAUGGUAUGCAGCAACUUUUUUGGUUGCAGGAUGGUUGAGGCCUGUUGAGGGUGAGCAUUGCUGCAAUUGUACUAGUUUUACCCUUGCAUUGGUGAGCAAUGGUGCACUUGCUUACGGAAAUAACCUCACCUAGCCCUCCUCCGACUUGGCAGUAGUUGAAGUCUCAUGCAUUGGACAAUCCUAAAAGAGUUAAAGUAAUAUUGGAGAAGUGGAAUUUGGGCGUGAGAAACUUCUAGCUUAAUUUGGAGUUGAUUAGGGUUAAUUGUGACUGCUACUCAGUUGGGUACUCCAACUAUAUCAUCAUCAAACAUUAGUUUAUGACAUUCAAGAAACAAACUUGGGAAACGUAACUAAUUUCUGCCGGCUCCCAUUUCGUCCAUAUUUUACGAGCAGCAUUCCACUUAAGAUGACGAUACAUCUGACACCAAAACAACGUUCCACCAAAUAAGACCAUAAACAUGUAGAAGUCUGUACACCAUACCGUCCAACACAGAGAAAAAUGACACAAGGGUUCGAAACAAGAAGCAAGAAUAUUUGUGGAAAAGCAAGUAGAUAGAAACAGAGUUACCUUGUGAGAGAGCUCGGCUCGGCAAAACUCCACUGCAAUGCCAGCCUCUUCAUUACCGCUACCGCAGUGCCGGAACAUCGUACAUGGGACACUUUGAAAGAGAAAGGGAAAUCAUC